rnacentral:rRNA from 1 species
UACAGAGGUCUCAAGCGUUGUUCGGAUUCAUUGGGCGUAAAGGGUGCGUAGGCGGCGCGGUAAGUCGGGUGUGAAAUCUCGGAGCUUAACUCCGAAACUGCAUUCGAUACUGCCGUGCUUGAGGACUGGAGAGGAGACUGGAAUUUACGGUGUAGCGGUGAAAUGCGUAGAUAUCGUAAGGAAGACCAGUGGCGAAGGCGGGUCUCGUGGACAGUUCCUGACACUGAGGCACGAAGGCCCAGGGGAGCGAAACGGG